GACGUGCUAAUCUGCGAUAAGCGUCGGUAAGGUGAUAUGAACCGUUAUAACCGGCGAUUUCCGAAUGGGGAAACCCAGUGUGUUUCGACACACUAUCAUUAACUGAAUCCAUAGGUUAAUGAGGCGAACCGGGGGAACUGAAACAUCUAAGUACCCCGAGGAAAAGAAAUCAACCGAGAUUCCCCCAGUAGCGGCGAGCGAACGGGGAGCAGCCCAGAGCCUGAAUCAGUGUGUGUGUUAGUGGAAGCGUCUGGAAAGGCGCGCGAUACAGGGUGACAGCCCCGUACACAAAAAUGCACAUACUGUGAGCUCGAUGAGUAGGGCGGGACACGUGGUAUCCUGUCUGAAUAUGGGGGGACCAUCCUCCAAGGCUAAAUACUCCUGACUGACCGAUAGUGAACCAGUACCGUGAGGGAAAGGCGAAAAGAACCCCGGCGAGGGGAGUGAAAAAGAACCUGAAACCGUG
rnacentral:rRNA from 1 species